UAUAAAGUUGACCAGCGAUUCUAGAAGUAUUUUGAGGAAAAUUUAAUUAAACCAAUAAAUAAAAGGAGAAUUAAAAUAGAGAGACAGUGGAUAAAUUAGCGAGAAAUAUGAAUAAGCACCUUUUUAAAAAAUAUGGAGCGCAAAACCCGAGCAUGUCGGCAUCGGCAGUACCGAUAAAAAAGGCAAAAUAUGCGACCGAAAAUAGAAUCCUCUUAGAAAACAGCUCAGCUGGCCAGUGAAUGCACUAUAGGUAAAUAAC